rnacentral:rRNA from 1 species
GCGCACGCUGGCGGCAGGCCUAACACCUGCAAGUCGAACGGAUCCUUCGGGAUUAGUGGCGGACGGGUGAGUAACACGUGGGAACGUGCCCUUUGGUUCGGAACAACUCAGGGAAACUUGAGCUAAUACCGGAUGUGCCCUUCGGGGGAAAGAUUUAUCGCCAUUGGAGCGGCCCGCGUCUGAUUAGCUAGUUGGUGAGGUAACGGCCCACCAAGGCGACGAUCAGUAGCUGGUCUGAGAGGAUGAUCAGCCACACUGGGACUGAGACACGGCCCAGACUCCUACGGGAGGCAGCAGUGGGGAAUCUUGCGCAAUGGGCGAAAGCCUGACGCAGCCAUGCCGCGUGAAUGAUGAAGGUCUUAGGAUUGUAAAAUUCUUUCAGCGGGGACGAUAAUGACGGUACCCGCAGAAGAAGCUCCGGCUAACUUCGUG